AACCAACAGGGAUUGCCCCAGUAACGGCGAGUGAAGCGGCAACAGCUCAAAUUUGAAAUCUGGCCCCUAGGGUCCGAGUUGUAAUUUGUAGAGGAUGCUUUUGGUGAGGUGCCGCCCGAGUUCCCUGGAACGGGACGCCACAGAGGGUGAGAGCCCCGUCUGGCUGGCCGCCGAGCCUCUGUAAAGCUCCUUCGACGAGUCGAGUAGUUUGGGAAUGCUGCUCAAAAUGGGAGGUAUAUGUCUUCUAAAGCUAAAUAUUGGCCAGAGACCGAUAGCGCACAAGUAGAGUGAUCGAAAGAUGAAAAGCACCUUGAAAAGAGGGUUAAAUAGUACGUGAAAUUGUUGAAAGGGAAGCGCUUGUGACCAGACUUGGGCGCGGCGGAUCAUCCGGGGUUCUCUCCGGUGCACUUCGCCGCGUCUAGGCCAGCAUCAGUUCGUCGCGGGGGAAAAAGGCUUCGGGAACGUGGCUCCUCCGGGAGUGUUAUAGCCCGUUGCAUAAUACCCUGCGGUGGACUGAGGACCGCGCAUCUGCAAGGAUGCUGGCGUAAUG
rnacentral:rRNA from 1 species